GAUGAACGCUGGCGGCGUGCCUAAUACAUGCAAGUCGAGCGAACAGACGAGGAGCUUGCUCCUCUUACGUUAGCGGCGGACGGGUGAGUAACACGUGGAGAACCUACCUAUAAGACUGGGAUAACUUCGGGAAACCGGAGCUAAUACCGGAUAAUAUAUUGAACCUCAUGGUUCAAUAGUGAAAGACGGUUUUGCUGUCACUUAUAGAUGGAUCCGCGCCGCAUUAGCUAGUUGGUAAGGUAACGGCUUACCAAGGCAACGAUGCGUAGCCGACCUGAGAGAGUGAUAGGACACACUGGAACAGAGACACGGUCCAGACUCCUACGGGAGGAAGCAGUAGGGAAUCUUCCGCAAUGGGCGAAAGCUUGACGGAGCAACGCCGCGUGAGUGAUGAAGGUCUUCGGAUCGUAAAACUCUGUUAUUAGGGAAGAACAAAUGUGUAAGUACCUAUGCACGUAUUGACGGUACCUACUCAGAAAGCCACGGCUAACUACGUG
rnacentral:rRNA from 1 species